rnacentral:rRNA from 1 species
UACGUAGGGUGCAAGCGUUAAUCGGAAUUACUGGGCGUAAAGCGUGCGCAGGCGGUUUUGUAAGACCGAUGUGAAAUCCCCGGGCUUAACCUGGGAACUGCAUUGGUGACUGCAAGGCUUGAGUGUGUCAGAGGGAGGUGGAAUUCCACGUGUAGCAGUGAAAUGCGUAGAGAUGUGGAGGAACACCGAUGGCGAAGGCAGCCCCCUGGGCUAACACUGACGCUCAUGCACGAAAGCGUGGGGAGCAAACAGG